rnacentral:rRNA from 1 species
UACGUAGGUGGCAAGCGUUGUCCGGAUUUACUGGGCGUAAAGAGCGCGCAGGCGGUCGUUCAAGUCGCGUGUGAAAGCCCCCGGCUCAACUGGGGAGGGUCACGCGAUACUGAUCGACUCGAAGGCAGGAGAGGGUAGUGGAAUUCCCGGUGUAGUGGUGAAAUGCGUAGAUAAUCGGGAGGAACACCGGUGGCGAAGGCGGAUCUCUGGGCCUUACCUGACGCUGGAGGCGCGAAAGCUAGGGGAGCAACAGG